rnacentral:rRNA from 1 species
GUCCAUGCCGUAAACGAUGAUUACUAGGUGUUGGAGGAUUGACCCCUUCAGUGCCGCAGUUAACACAAUAAGUAAUCCACCUGGGGAGUACGACCGCAAGGUUGAAACUCAAAGGAAUUGACGGGGACCCGCACAAGCGGUGGAGUAUGUGGUUUAAUUCGACGCAACGCGAAGAACCUUACCAGGUCUUGACAUUGAUGGACAGAACCAGAGAUGGUUCCUCUUCUUCGGAAGCCAGAAAACAGGUGGUGCACGGUUGUCGU